GAAGGUAUAGCUCAGUGGUAGAGUGUGUGCCUCGCAUGCACGAAGUCUGGGUUCAAUCCCCAAGUCCUCUG
rnacentral:tRNA from 1 species